AUUGAACGCUGGCGGCAUGCUUUACACAUGCAAGUCGAACGGUAACAGGCCGCAAGGUGCUGACGAGUGGCGAACGGGUGGGUAAUGCACCGGAACGUGCCCAGUCGUGGGGGAUAACUACUCGAAAGAGUAGCUAAUACCGCACACGAUCUAUGGAUGAAAGCGGGGGACCGUAAGGCCUCGCGCGAUCGGAGCGGCCGAUGUCAGAUUAGGUAGUUGGUGGGGUAAAGGCUCACCAAGCCCACGAUCUGUAGCUGGUCUGAGAGGACGACCAGCCACACUGGGACUGAGACACGGCCCAGACUCCUACGGGAGGCAGCAGUGGGGAAUUUUGGACAAUGGGCGCAAGCCUGAUCCAGCAAUGCCGCGUGUAGGAAGAAGGCCUUCGGGUUGUAAACUGCUUUUGUACGGAACGAAACGGCUCUGGUUAAUACCCGGGGCUAAUGACGGUACCGGAAGAAUAAGCACCGGCUAACUACGUG
rnacentral:rRNA from 1 species